rnacentral:tRNA from 1 species
GCGCCAGUAGUCUAGUCUGGUUAGGACACGAGCUUGCCAAGCUUGCAGCAUGGGUUCAAAUCCCGUCUGGCGCA